rnacentral:rRNA from 1 species
GACGAACGCUGGCGGCGUGCUUAACACAUGCAAGUCGAACGGAAAGGCCCUGCUUUUGUGGGGUGCUCGAGUGGCGAACGGGUGAGUAACACGUGUGUAACCUGCCCUUGACUUUGGGAUAACUUCAGGAAACUGGGGCUACUACCGCAUAGUCGCUCCUGCUGCGUGGUGGGGGUUGGAAAGUUUCGGCGGUUGGGGAUGGACUCGCGGCUUAUCAGCUUGUUGGUGGGGUAGUGGCUUGCCAAGGCUUUGACGGGUAGCCGGCCUGAGAGGCGGACCGGCCACAUUGGGACUGAGAUACGGCCCAGACUCCUACGGGAGGCAGCAGUGGGGAAUAUUGCACAGUGGGCGGAAGCCUGAUGCAGCAACGCCGCGUGCGGGGUGACGGACUUCUGGUGGUAAACCGGAUUCGCCUGUGAUGAAGCGUGAGUGACGGUAAUGGGUAAAGAAGCACCGGCUAACUACGUG